CUUGUGGCCAUAUCAGGUUGAAACACUGGUUACCAUUAUGAUCUCCAAAGUUAAACAAUGUUGAGUGUGGUCAGUACAUAGAUGGGUGACUGAUUGGGAAUACUAAGUAGUGUCAG